rnacentral:rRNA from 1 species
GCAAGUCGAGCGAACAGAAGGGAGCUUGCUCCCGGAUGUUAGCGGCGGACGGGUGAGUAACACGUGGGUAACCUGCCUGUAAGACUGGGAUAACUCCGGGAAACCGGAGCUAAUACCGGAUAGUUCCUUGAACCGCAUGGUUCAAGGAUGAAAGACGGUUUCGGCUGUCACUUACAGAUGGACCCGCGGCGCAUUAGCUAGUUGGUGGGGUAAUGGCUCACCAAGGCGACGAUGCGUAGCCGACCUGAGAGGGUGAUCGGCCACACUGGGACUGAGACACGGCCCAGACUCCUACGGGAGGCAGCAGUAGGGAAUCUUCCGCAAUGGACGAAAGUCUGACGGAGCAACGCCGCGUGAGUGAUGAAGGUUUUCGGAUCGUAAAGCUCUGUUGUUAGGGAAGAACAAGUGCGAGAGUAACUGCUCGCACCUUGACGGUACCUAACCAGAAAGCCACGGCUAACUACGUGCCAGCAGCCGCGGUAAUACGUAGGUGGCAAGCGUUGUCCGGAAUUAUUGGGCGUAAAGGGCUCGCAGGCGGUUUCUUAAGUCUGAUGUGAAAGCCCCCGGCUCAACCGGGGAGGGUCAUUGGAAACUGGGAAACUUGAGUGCAGAAGAGGAGAGUGGAAUUCCACGUGUAGCGGUGAAAUGCGUAGAGAUGUGGAGGAACACCAGUGGCGAAGGCGACUCUCUGGUCUGUAACUGACGCUGAGGAGCGAAAGCGUGGGGAGCGAACAGGAUUAGAUACCCUGGUAGUCCACGCCGUAAACGAUGAGUGCUAAUGGUUAGGGGGGUUUCCGCCCCUUAGUGCUGCAGCUAACGCAUUAAGCACUCCGCCUGGGGGAGUACGGUCGCAAGACUGAAACUCAAAGGAAUUGACGGGGGCCCGCACAAGCGGUGGAAGCAUGUGGUUUAAUUCGAAGCAACGCGAAGAACCUUACCAGGUCUUGACAUCCUCUGACAACCCUAGAGAUAGGGCUUUCCCUUCGGGGACAGAGUGACAAGGGGGGGCAAGGGUUGUCGUCCACCUCCU